UACCUGGUUGAUCCUGCCAGUAGUCAUAUGCUUGUCUCAAAGAUUAAGCCAUGCAAGUCUAAGUACGAGCUCUCGUACAGUGAAACUGCGAAUGGCUCAUUAAAUCAGUUAUGGUUCAUUUGAUCGUACAGUUUACUUGGAUAACUGUGGUAAUUCUAGAGCUAAUACAUGCGAGAAGCGCCGACCUCGCGGGAGGCGUGCAUUUAUCAGACCAAAAACCGGCCGCGUCUUCGGGCGCGUUCGCCUUGGUGACUCUGGAUAACUUUGCGGAUCGCACGGUCUAGCACCGGCGACGGAUCAUUCAAGUGUCUGCCCUAUCAACUUUCGUCGGUACGGUAUUUGCCUACCGAGGUUCUUACGGGUGACGGGGAAUCAGGGUUCGAUUCCGGAGAGGGAGCCUGAGAAACGGCUACCACAUCCAAGGAAGGCAGCAGGCGCGCAAAUUACCCAUUCCCGACGCGGG
rnacentral:ncRNA from 1 species